rnacentral:rRNA from 1 species
CCUACGGGAGGCAGCAGUGAGGAAUAUUGGUCAAUGGACGAGAGUCUGAACCAGCCAAGUAGCGUGAAGGAUGACUGCCCUAUGGGUUGUAAAUUUCUUUUAUAUGGGAAUAAAAUGUUCCACGUGUGGGAGUUUGUAUGUACCAUAUGAAUAAGGAACGGCUCACUCCGUGCCAGCAGCCGAGGUAAUACGGAGGAUCCGAGGGUUACCCGGAUUUAUUGGGUUUAAAGGGAGCGUAGGUGGUUUGUUAAGUCAGUUGUGAAAUCUUGCGGCUCAACCGUAAAAUUGAAGUUGAAACGGGCAGUCUUGAGUACCGUAGAGGUGGGCGGAAUUCGUGGUGUAGCGGUGAAAUGCUUAGAUAUCACGAAGAACUCCGAUUGCGAAGGCAGCUCACUGGACUAAAACUGACACUGAGGCUCGAAAGUGUGGGUAUCAAACAGGAUUAGAUACUCCUGUAGUC